rnacentral:rRNA from 1 species
AGGCUUAACACAUGCAAGUCGAGGGGCAGCAUUUUAGUUUGCUUGCAAACUGAAGAUGGCGACCGGCGCACGGGUGAGUAACACGUAUCCAACCUGCCGAUAACUCCGGGAUAGCCUUUCGAAAGAAAGAUUAAUACCGGAUAGCAUACGAAUAUCGCAUGAUAUUUUUAUUAAAGAAUUUCGGUUAUCGAUGGGGAUGCGUUCCAUUAGUUUGUUGGCGGGGUAACGGCCCACCAAGACUACGAUGGAUAGGGGUUCUGAGAGGAAGGUCCCCCACAUUGGAACUGAGACACGGUCCAAACUCCUACGGGAGGCAGCAGUGAGGAAUAUUGGUCAAUGGGCGCGAGCCUGAACCAGCCAAGUAGCGUGAAGGAUGAAGGCUCUAUGGGUCGUAAACUUCUUUUAUAUGGGAAUAAAGUUUUCCACGUGUGGAAUUUUGUAUGUACCAUAUGAAUAAGGAUCGGCUAACUCCGUGCCAGCAGCCGCGGUAAUACGGAGGAUCCGAGCGUUAUCCGGAUUUAUUGGGUUUAAAGGGAGCGUAGGUGGAUUGUUAAGUCAGUUGUGAAAGUUUGCGGCUCAACCGUAAAAUUGCAGUUGAAACUGGCAGUCUUGAGUACAGUAGAGGUGGGCGGAAUUCGUGGUGUAGCGGUGAAAUGCUUAGAUAUCACGAAGAACUCCGAUUGCGAAGGCAGCUCACUAGACUGUCACUGACACUGAUGCUCGAAAGUGUGGGUAUCAAACAGGAUUAGAUACCCUGGUAGUCCACACAGUAAACGAUGAAUACUCGCUGUUUGCGAUAUACAGUAAGCGGCCAAGCGAAAGCAUUAAGUAUUCCACCUGGGGAGUACGCCGGCAACGGUGAAACUCAAAGGAAUUGACGGGGGCCCGCACAAGCGGAGGAACAUGUGGUUUAAUUCGAUGAUACGCGAGGAACCUUACCCGGGCUUAAAUUGCAACAGAAUAUAUUGGAAACAGUAUAGCCGUAAGGCUGUUGUGAAGGUGCUGCAUGGUUGUCGUCAGCUCGUGCCGUGAGGUGUCGGCUUAAGUGCCAUAACGAGCGCAACCCUUAUCUUUAGUUACUAACAGGUCAUGCUGAGGACUCUAGAGAGACUGCCGUCGUAAGAUGUGAGGAAGGUGGGGAUGACGUCAAAUCAGCACGGCCCUUACGUCCGGGGCUACACACGUGUUACAAUGGGGGGUACAGAAGGCGGCUACCUGGUGACAGGAUGCUAAUCCCAAAAACCUCUCUCAGUUCGGAUCGAAGUCUGCAACCCGACUUCGUGAAGCUGGAUUCGCUAGUAAUCGCGCAUCAGCCAUGGCGCGGUGAAUACGUUCCCGGGCCUUGUACACACCGCCCGUCAAGCCAUGAAAGCCGGGGGUACCUGAAGUACGUAACCGCAAGGAGCGUCCUAGGGUAAAACUGGUAAUUGGGACUAAGUCAU